GAAAUGCGAUAAGUAAUGCGAAUUGCAGAAUUUCCGUGAGUCAUCGAAUCUUUGAACGCACAUUGCGCCCUUUGGCAUUCCGAAGGGCAUGCCUGUUCGAGCGUCAUUAUCCCCCCUCAAACCUCGGGUUUGGUGUUGGGCCCACGUUGGUUGGCGACGACCAACUGGCCUCAAAGGCAAUGACGGCUCCCGCUGGGACCCUUGGUGCAAUGAGCUUCUUUCGAGAGCACGCAUCGAGUUCGGACCCGGUGGGCCGGUCUCCCUUACGACUUUCUAAGGUUGACCUCGGAUCAGGUAGGAAUACCCGCUGAACUUAA
rnacentral:misc_RNA from 1 species